rnacentral:rRNA from 1 species
AUUGAACGCUGGCGGCGUGCCUAACACAUGCAAGUUGAGCGACGAACCAGGGCUUGCCCUGGGGCAAAGCAGCGAACGGGUGAGUAACACGUGGGUGACCUGCCCCGAUGACCGGGACAACCCGAGGAAACUCGGGCUAAUACCGGAUGUGCUCGCCGGACCCAAGUCCGGCGCGUAAAGGAAGCUUCGGCCUCCGCAUUGGGAGGGGCCCGCGGCCCAUUAGCUAGUUGGUGAGGUAACGGCUCACCAAGGCCGCGAUGGGUAGCUGGUCUGAGAGGACGAUCAGCCACACUGGGACUGAGACACGGCCCAGACUCCUACGGGAGGCAGCAGUGGGGAAUCUUGCGCAAUGCGCGAAAGCGUGACGCAGCAACGCCGCGUGGGGGAAGAAGGCCUUCGGGUUGUAAACCCCUUUCAGGAGGGACGAAGGUGCGGCGGUGAACAGCCGUCCGCACUGACGGUACCUCCACAAGAAGCCCCGGCUAACUACGUGCCAGCAGCCGCCGUAA